rnacentral:tRNA from 1 species
GGCCUUCUAGCUCAGUUGGUUAGAGCGUGGUGCUAAUAACGCCAAGGUUAUCAGUUCGAUACUGAUGAGGGCCA